AGCAGCAUCAAGUUCAAGACCAAUGGAAAACUGCAAGAUAGAAGAAUCACAAGAUGAUGUCGUGGCAUGACAUCAAGCUCCAAUGGUCUUGAAAACUACUGUCUUUCUUGAUAUGCUAGGACACAUCUUUAAUGGUUCUGGGAAACCUAUCGAUGAUGGCCCUCCAAUAUUGUCUGAGGCUUACUCCUGGAUAUUUCUGGAAGUUCUAUCAACCCCAGUGAGAGAACCUAUUCAGAAGAGAUGAUUCAAACAUGAAUAUCCACCAUUGAUGUGAUGAACUCAAUUGCACGAGGGCAAAAAUUCCUCUCUUCUCUGCUGCUGGGCUUCCACACAAUGAGAUUCCUGCUCAGAUAUGUCGUCAAGCUGGUCUUGUCAAAAGGCUGGAGAAUUCUGGCAAGCACAAGGAGAUAGUGAUCCUAAUUAGUUUUAUUUUUUGGAAAAUGUGUCCCUUCUGAAAAUGUUGUAAGUUAUUGUUCAAUUGCUUUUGAAAUAUUGGUUGACCUUUUACCCUUGAAAGAAAUGGCUGACCUAUAUUUGGCUAUUGACUGUUACGUACAUAUGCCUCAAAUCAAUCUUAGAUUCCUUAUUUUCAA